UACGUAGGGCGCAAGCGUUGUCCGGAAUUAUUGGGCGUAAAGAGCUCGUAGGCGGUUUGUCGCGUCUGCUGUGAAAACCUAAGGCUCAACCUUGGGCUUGCAGUGGGUACGGGCAGACUAGAGUGCGGUAGGGGUGACUGGAAUUCCUGGUGUAGCGGUGGAAUGCGCAGAUAUCAGGAGGAACACCGAUGGCGAAGGCGGAUCUCUGGGCCGAUACUGACGCUGAGGAGCGAAAGCGUGGGGAGCGAACAGG
rnacentral:rRNA from 1 species